CAGGAGAUCCAUGCAUUAAAACUCUGAGCAGAUGAGUGUUCAAGAGCAGCUUCUCGCCUAUAAAAACAAGCCAAAUUUAGUUCAGAGUUUGCUGCACUUGGAUUUAACGGAACGUUGAAGCAAUGCAGAGAAAAGUAAAAAAAAUCUGAAACAGGAAUAAAGAAACCUCAAGGGUGACAACAAGAUGAGUGGUUCCAUCUAUCUUGAAGAAAGCGGUUUUGUCGUCAUCUAUAGAGUCCUCACUCACCUAUCAACAACUCAGGCUUAUUCCUUUCCAGGAGCAGAAGACUGUUCCCGGUUUAAAGCUGUCCUUGCUGUGUCUCCUUGCUCCACCAUUACGCCUGAUGUCAGCAUUCAGGUGGCAAGUGGCUCGGCAGCAUAUUGUAAAGCAUUAUGGGAAACUGGAGGUGUUUGUGACUUUGGUGACAGAGGUGGUUCCAGAGAUGCUGAGUUCCAGGCAGAGGACCCAACUCCUCCUGGGUCUGAGAGCAAGGGUUUGUGAGGUGGAAAUGCAAAGGAUUCUGAUAAACUGGUUCUGGAGUUGUGACUCAGGGAGAGCACCGGUGACCUUGUCCAUCCAGCUUCACCUGGACAAAAUCCAUUUCUUAACAGAAUACGCUAUACACAAGAAGUAAUGAUGAUGAGUUGGAGGCUACAGUCUAACUUUGUGGAGUUGGUCUAAACUCUGCUGGGAGACCCUUCUGAGAGGGAGCACUUCUUCAGGAGGUAUUCCCAGUACAUUACGGCCCUCGGCAUGACACAGCACUGCAGGUACUGGUGUGGGAGUUCCUCUCCAGAUUGGAGGAGCUGCUACCUGUAACAGACUUCAGACAGGUACAGAUUGAAACAUCAGUGCCCAUCAAGUAUUGAGGCGCCUCCCAAGUGGCACAGUGCUUGCUGUCCAGGCUCUGUCGCAGCCGGGCCACGACCGGGAGACCCAUGGAGCGGCGCACAAUUUGCCCAGUGCCAUCCGGGUUAGGGGAGGGUUUGGCCAGCAGGGAUGUUCUUGUCUCAUCACGCUCUAGCGACUCCAAUGCACACUGACACGAUCGCCAGGUGCACAGUGUUUCCUCCGACACAUUGGUGUGCCUGGCGUCCUUCGCCUCUCCCAAGUCCGUACGGGAGUUGCAGCGAUGGGACAAGACUGACUACCAAUUGGAUACCACGAAAUUGGGGAGAAAAAAGAGAUGGGAAAAAAAUAUGUUAAAAAGUAUUGAGUGCUGAUCACUGUUUAAAAAAAAUGUUGGACUGAGGACUAUGGUGAGCUGAAGGAAAACAUCUACCCAAAGCGCAAGGCUCUGGCAUGCAGAGAAGGAACAAUACCAAUGAUACAGUGUUGAAUUCAAUGUAAAAUCUAAAGCAUUGAAAAACACUGAAAUGUGAUCGAUUACAAAUUUAUGCAGCACCACCACCAGCAUCAUGGAAACCCGAAAAAGACUAAGUCUCCAUCCAGAAUUAUGUAUUUGUCACUGAGUAUGUUAAAUUCUUUGUCUGGUAUGUAGUGGAAGACAAUGUAUGGCAAGAGUGUAACUUACUGGAUCAGUAUGUUCUGUCUUUCCUAGGUUAUUUAUCUUACUACACUGCAGAUACCAUCCUGUCCCUCCCUCCAACAAUAAGAGUUGUCAUUAGCUCGGAGCAGGCCAGCUCUGACAAAAUGAGGUCAUGCUCAGAUGGAGAUAAAUGCUUCAAGAAUGGGACAGAUAGAGCAGGAGAUGGAGAAGAGAGAGAAGGACAAUCUAAUGAGGUCAUGCUCAGAUGGAGAUAAAUGCUUCAAGAAUGGGACAGAUAGAGCAGGAGAUGGAGAAGAGGAGAAGGACAAUCUAAUGGGGUCAGAGAGGAGGAAAAAGAUAGGCGGACUGAAGAGGACUUCUGCUCCGUGUAUCCCAGUACCCAGCAAUGGCAAGGAAAUUCAAGUAAUUACUAAAAUAUUUGACUUAAUUUUACAGCAUUAUUAUCACUGUUAUUUAUCUGGUAUUUAAAAUGAAAUUACUUAACAAUUGGUACCAUAUCGUAAUUAGCAACUUGGAAAUGAACAGAAUCUGUAAAUUCUUGAUAACAAUUGGUACAUCCUUGUGUUCUUUGCCAAAUAACAUCAAUGCUUAUCUUUUGUUUAUGUACUUUGUAAGUAAAUACCUGGUAAUCAGCAAGUUGUUAAAUGUAGUGUUACUCAAAAUUGAUUUCUCGAAUGAUAAUUCAUUCAUCUGGACUUCUUAAGCAAUCUGGGCUCCUAAUUUUGGCAUUUCAGGUUUGAAUAGUGACAUGGCAUCCCAGGUCCUUGCCUGCUCUCUCUGCACAUUCUCUCAUAUUUUGGUAAAACUCCACCAGCACAUCAGGAUUAAGCAUGGCGGUGAGGACAGGAAGCUUCUACGCUUGAAAGAAUCUGGGACUGAAAGCACCUUUCCUCAAACAGCACAAAACUCCCCCAGCGUAUCAGCACUAGGCACCAAAGGAAGAACUGGAAGCGCCUCAACUCUAAAGAAUCUGGGAAUAAUAAUUCCCGUCCCACACGCAGCACAAAACUACUUCACCAGCACAUCAGGACUAGGCACCAAGGGGAUGAAUGGAAGUGUCAACACUGAAGACUCUGGGACAGAAAACCUUCACUCAAGCACAAAAAUGAUCCCCUAUAGACCCGAUAACAUGAUUCUUUAAGUUGCCCUCAUUGUGGGAAUGUUUACCAAAACCUCAACUCCCUGGAAAAAACAUAACAAUUCACACAUUUCGAUUCUGUUGUAACCAGUGUGAGAGAAGAUUCUCGACCAGAUUAGAUCUCAAAAGACAUCAAUGAGCUCACACAGGGGAAAGACCAUUCAAAUGCUCUCACUGUGAUGUGUGCAUAUUCACUCAAAAUGUAAUUAUGUAGCAUUAUGUAGCAUCUGUGGUAAGGCAUUCCUUAGCUCAGGAGAACUAAUGCUGCAUACAUGAUCACACACAGGAUAAAGUCCCUACACCUGUGAAUGUUGUGGAAAGGGUUUCAAAGCAGCAUGCCAUGUUCAGAUUCAUGUACAAAGAUUUCAAGUAGGGGAGUGUCCAUACCCCUGCACCCUGUGCACAACACAUUGUCAUUCUCAUGGAACAUACAAGACAUGUUAAUUCACAUGGGUGAGAAACCUCACCAGUGGUCCAAGUGUGGGAAGAGAUUUUCUUUAAAGGAAACUCUGAAAACGCAUCUUAAUAUUAAAAGGCAUGGAUUUUAAGACAUUCCAGAAAGAUCAUAUUAGUUAUGCAUAAAGUCUGGUAGAUGGUGUUACUUCCUACCGUAACCUUAUUUCCCGUACAAAUAAAAUACAGAAAUAUGAAUAAUUUAUUUUACCGAGACACGCACCGACAGAAAGACUCAAUCUAAGUUCAGGCACCCGAGCUUGCGAAACGGUGCACCUCUGUCUCAAUAUGUGUAGACCAUGUAUCUGAUGCUGUCUGCACCAAAGGAGUAUU